GUGCUAGACCUGUACCCAUCACACUUGUACUUCUUAGCAUGUGGUACAGGGAUGCUCAGCAGUGCAAGUGUGACAGGUAUGGUGUUUCCUUC
rnacentral:pre_miRNA from 1 species